GUAGGCUUUGGAAACUGUUUAACUUGAGUGCAGAAGGGGAGAGUGGAAUUCCAUGUGUAGCGGUGAAAUGCGUAGAUAUAUGGAGGAACACCGGUGGCGAAAGCGGCUCUCUGGUCUGUAACUGACGCUGAGGCUCGAAAGCGUGNGGAGCGAACAGGAUUAGAUACCCUGGUAGUNCACGCCGUAAACGAUGAGUGCUAGGUGUUAGGUCCUUUCCGGGACUUAGUGCCGCAGCUAACGCAUUAAGCACUCCGCCUGGGGAGUACGACCGCAAGGUUGAAGCUCAAAGGAAUUGACGGGGGCCCGCACAAGCGGUGGAGCAUGUGGUUUAAUUCGAAGCAACGCGAAGAACCUUACCAGGUCUUGACAUCCCGAUGCUAUUUCUAGAGAUAGGAAGUUUCUUCGGAACAUCGGUGACAGGUGGUGCAUGGUUGUCGUCAGCUCGUGUCGUGAGAUGUUGGGUUAAGUCCCGCAACGAGCGCAACCCUUAUUGUUAGUUGCCAUCAUUGAGUUGGGCACUCUAGCGAGACUGCCGGUAAUAAACCGGAGGAAGGUGGGGAUGACGUCAAAUCAUCAUGCCCCUUAUGACCUGGGCUACACACGUGCUACAAUGGCUGGUACAACGAGUCGCAAGCCGGUGACGGCAAGCUAAUCUCUGAAAGCCAGUCUCAGUUCGGAUUGUAGGCUGCAACUCGCCUACAUGAAGUCGGAAUCGCUAGUAAUCGCGGAUCAGCACGCCGCGGUGAAUACGUUCCCGGGCCUUGUACACACCGC
rnacentral:rRNA from 1 species